GAUGAACGCUAGCGGCAGGCCUAAUACAUGCAAGUCGAACGGUAUAGAGAUUAUUUUCGGAUAAUUUCUAGAGAGUGGCGAACGGGUGAGUAACAAGUAUAGAACCUACCUGGUACAGGGAGAUAACCGACUGAAAAGUUGGCUAAUACGCCAUAACAUUAUAUAUCGGCAUCGAUAUAUAAUCAAAGCUACGGCGGUACCAGAUGGCUAUGCAUCCUAUUAGCUAGUUGGUAAGGUAACGGCUUACCAAGGCUACGAUAGGUAGGGGCCCUGAGAGGGGGAUCCCCCACACUGGAACUGAGACACGGUCCAGACUCCUACGGGAGGCAGCAGUAAGGAAUAUUGGUCAAUGGGCGCAAGCCUGAACCAGCCAUGCCGCGUGCAGGACGACGGCCUUAGGGUUGUAAACUGCUUUUAAUGGAGAAUAAACCUCUUUGCGAGACAAAGAGCUGAAGGUAUCCAAAGAAUAAGGAUCGGCUAACUCCGUGCCAGCAGCCGCGGUAAUACGGAGGAUCCAAGCGUUAUCCGGAUUUACUGGGUUUAAAGGGUGCGUAGGCGGCUAAUAAAGUCAGGGGUAAAAUACAUAAGCUUAACUUUAUGGCCUGCCCUUGAAACUCAUUAGCUAGAGUAUGGUGAGUGUAGGGCGGGAAUGUGACAAGUAGCGGGGGAAAUGCAUAGAUAUGUCACAGAACACCGAUCGCGAAGGCAGCUUACAGUACCAUAACUGACGCUGAGGCACGAAAGCGUGGGGAGCAAACAGGAUUAGAUACCCUGGUAGUCCACGCCCUAAACGAUGAUUACUAGUUGUCGGCGAUACACAGCCGGUGACCAAGCGAAAGCGAUAAGUAAUCCACCUGAGGAGUACGUUCGCAAGAAUGAAACUCAAAGGAAUUGACGGGGGCCCGCACAAGCGGAGGAGCAUGUGGUUUAAUUCGAUGCUACGCGAGGAACCUUACCUGGGCUUGAAAGUUAGUGAUGAGACUGGAAACAGUUUUUUCCGCAAGGACACGAAACUAGGUGCUGCAUGGCUGUCGUCAGCUCGUGCCGUGAGGUGUUGGGUUAAGUCCCGCAACGAGCGCAACCCCCAUGUACUGUUGCCAGCGCGUAAAGGCGGGGACUCAGUACAAACUGCCUGCGUAAGCAAGGAGGAAGGAGGGGACGAUGUCAAGUCAUCAUGGCCCUUACGUCCAGGGCUACACACGUGCUACAAUGGUCGUUACAGAGGGCAGCAAUGUCGUGAGGCGGAGCAAAUCUCAGAAAGACGAUCUCAGUUCGGAUCGAAGUCUGCAACUCGACUUCGUGAAGUUGGAUUCGCUAGUAAUCGCGUAUCAGCAACGACGCGGUGAAUACGUUCCCGGGCCUUGUACACACCGCCCGUCAAGCCAUGGAAGUUGGGAGUAUCUGAAGCAUGUAACCGCAAGGAGCGUGUUAGGAUAAUACCAAUGACUGGGGUUAAGUCGUAACAAGGUAGCCGUA
rnacentral:rRNA from 1 species